AUUGAACGCUGGCGGCAUGCCUAACACAUGCAAGUCGAACGGUAACAGGCCUUCGGGCGCUGACGAGUGGCGGACGGGUGAGUAACGCGUGGGAAUCUGCCUAGUAGUGGGGGACAACCUGGGGAAACUCAGGCUAAUACCGCAUACGCCCUACGGGGGAAAGCAGGGGAUCUUCGGACCUUGCGCUAUUAGAUGAGCCUGCGUCGGAUUAGCUUGUUGGUGGGGUAAAGGCCUACCAAGGCGACGAUCCGUAGCUGGUUUGAGAGGACGAUCAGCCACACUGGGACUGAGACACGGCCCAGACUCCUACGGGAGGCAGCAGUGGGGAAUAUUGGACAAUGGGGGCAACCCUGAUCCAGCAAUGCCGCGUGUGUGAAGAAGGCCUGCGGGUUGUAAAGCACUUUCGGAUGGGAAGAAAAGCUCAAGGCUAAUAUCCUUGGGUCUUGACGUUACUAUCAGAAGAAGCACCGGCUAACUCUGUG
rnacentral:rRNA from 1 species